rnacentral:rRNA from 4 species
UACGAAGGUCCCAAGCGUUGUUCGGAAUCACUGGGCGUAAAGGGUGCGUAGGCGGUUUGGUAAGUCAGAUGUGAAAUCCCGGGGCUCAACCCCGGAACUGCAUCCGAUACUGCCAGACUAGAGGACUGGAGAGGUGACUGGAAUUCUCGGUGUAGCAGUGAAAUGCGUGGAUAUCGAGAGGAACACUCGUGGCGUAAGCGAGUCACUGGACAGUAUCUGACGCUGAGGCACGAAGGCCAGGGUAGCGAAAGGG